rnacentral:lncRNA from 1 species
AAAACUUUAGUUGGUAAACCAACUUUUGACUUUCCCACAUGUUCAAUAACUCCAGCACUCAGCCUCAUUCAGCAGAUGCAUGCAUUACAACACAAUAUAUAUAGAUUCAAGAGAGAGAAAUGUCAUCUUUUAAGCUAUUUGAUCACCACAUUCAUCCUCGAACUUCUCUCUCUAAAAACCCACGAAUUAUAUAUGUAUAUCAGUCCCAUAAUAAAGCCCCAUGAAUUCCAUAACAGAUCUAGAAGCCCAGAAUCAUGAAUCAAAGCAUGAAGGUAUAAACCCUAGAAUUUAAAAUUUUUAUGAUCUGCAUGUUUGAUGUUAGGAUUGAGUGUUAAAAUAUGUUGUUUAAGGUGUAUAAUGAUGAUCUGGGUUGCUAGAUGUUAGAUCCAUAACAUCUAGAGGCUCAGAUUUGAAGAUUUUAAGAAUCUAGAAAUUUUUGUUUUUGUAUCUGACAGUCAAAUGUCAGUCCUCAUAGAUCUUUGUAUGUUAUGUGUUUUUGUUGUUUAAAGGUUUAAUCUUGUCGUAUGCUAUGAGCUCUUUAAUCUAGAACUUGAUUCAGAGUUAGAUCUGCUGUAGAUUGUAAGUUAUUCAUGGUCAAAGGUCGUUGACCGACCAUGACUUUCUAAAAUCUGGGUAACCCAGAAAGUUUUUAGCAGCGUCUGACAACUUUUUCUAAUGCCUUGAUCUGUCAGAUUAUAUGUGUAUUGUUAAUGUUGUUGUGAUGAGAUUUUAGUGUGAUGUCUGGACUAUAGAUCCAUGAUUUAAUAUGUCUUAUAUCGUAAGCCAGAUUGAUGUAUUAGAAGGUCAAACUGGGCAAAACGAUCACGAGGACGGGUUUCUGGAAUUUCCAGAAACCGUAAUAGCAUUGUUUCUGACAAUGUUUGACUUACUUAUAUCUUGUGAUUUUGUUGUUAUUAGAAUGAUCUGAUGAUACGAAGUUGUUCCUUGACAUGUAUACUUCCAUUAUGAACCUUUAGAUCAUACAAACAAUCCUUAGAAUCAAUGUUACGGAGCCUCAAAAGUGGUAGCAUGAACUGUUCUUCAAUUCUAGAAAACCCAGAAAUUGAAGAACAGCGUCUGACAGUUUUUCCAGGGCUUGGAUCUUACUUAUGUUAUGAUGUUUGGCCAUGUUUGUUAUUGAAUAGUGUAGUCUUGUUCGUAUACUACAAGAUCUGACCAAGAUCAAGCCCAGAAACCUCUUAGAUUAAAAGUAAUUCAUGGACAAUGUAGGCACCUCUAUCACUGACCGUCAGUGUUCUUGAGCCUCAAGAACACCAACAGCGACAGAAAGCGUCGCUAAAAGCUACAGCGACGGUUUUAAAUUUUUUUUAUUUUUUGAAUUUCCGAAAAAUGAUUAAAAAUAGGAAAUAAAUUCUACAAUUUACAAAAAUGGUUUUAAAAAUUAUUUUAAAUUAUGAAAAAUAACUUUUUAUUAUUCGAGAUAUUUUUCAUUAAUAUUUAUAAUUAUUUGAAUAUUAAUGAUAUUUAAUUUAUUUAAUUAGUGUAUUAAAUAAAUUAGAGAAAAAUAAUUUUAAUGUUAUAAAAAUUAUUUUAAAUAAGAAUAAAGUGUUUUAAAAUAUUUUUAAGUUAUAAAUGUCACUUUUAAUAUUUUGUGAUAAAAUUUUAUUAAUAAAUUAAUAUUAAUGAUAAAUAAGUUAUUUAAUAAAUGUAUUAAAUACAUUAUGGAAAAUAGAAUUAAUAAUUUAAAAAUUAUAGAAAAAUGAUUUAAAGGUUAUAAAAAUAUUUUAAGUUAUAAAAUAUAACUUUUGAUAUUUUGUCAUGAAAAAUAUUAAUAUUUUAAUAUUAAUGAUGUUAGAUUUAUUUAAUAAUUAUAUUAAAUAAAUUAGUUUAAAAUUGAUGUUAAUAUUAGAAAAAUUAUUUUUGAUAAUAAAUUGUUUAAAGAUAUUUUAAGUUAUAAAAGAUAACUUUUAAUAUUUAAAGGAUAAUUUCAUUAAUAAUUUAAUAUUAAUGAUAUUAAUUUAAUAAUAAAUGAUAUUAAGUUUAUUUAAUAAUUAUAUUAAAUAAAUAGUUUUAAAAUGGUUUUAUUUAUUUAAAAAUCAUUUAAAAAGGAUAUAAAUGAAUUAAAAAUGUUUUAAGUUAUAAUUAAGGACUUUUAAUAUUUUGAUAAAUAAUACAUUAAUACUUUAAUAUUAAUGAUAAUUAUUUAAAAAUGAUUUUAAUUCUUUUAAAAAUCAUUUAAGUGUAAUAUUAAUACUUUAAAAGUAUUUUUAGUUAUUAUAAAUAACUUUAACCUUUUGGCAAUGGUUUCAUUAAUCGAUUAAUAUUAAUUAAAUAUUAAUGAUAAUAGAAUUAUUCAAUAUUUAAAUCAUUUAAUAAUGAUUCCGGUGUUUGUAAAUUCAUGAUAAAUUAUGAUAAAUAAUUAAAAAUUAUUAUAAGUCAUUUAAAAAUAAUAUGACUGAUAUUUAUAGAUAUUGAGUUACAGAAUAGAGUCUUCGACUCGAUAAUUACCCGAUAAAGCUGUCGAUACACCGACAUGUUUCAGAAAUUGAUCUGGACUUAGAUAUUUUGACUGUAUAUGUGUUUAUUUGUGAUUCAAUGGUUGUGGAAUAUAUGUGACAAUGUGAUUAGGUUAUGUGCUUACUGCAAUAAGCAAUGCUAUGUGUUAUAGUAUGUUGUUCUAAUCGAACGAAUGAUCUUAUUACUGAUAGGUGUUAUAUAAGGAUAGAACUAAGUACAAACUGUAAGCAGCGCAUCAGGCAAGUAUCUAACCUUUGCAUUUUCUUUAUGCAAUGGACAUGAGUAAGAAUGCUUCUAAACUAUAUUAUUACUGUACAGAUUAUUAACCUUAUAUUAUAUACACCCAUUGAUUAUCAACAUGUUAGUAUAUGGUAACUCAGAUAUAUAUAUUAUGUUCGUUAAUUUCUAGAAAUGGUUAAAUAAGUGUCCCAACUUGGAUAAUCAUUGUAUGUAAUCACAUGUUGAUAUACCUUUGUCAAUUACCCGUAUACAUAUAUGUUGAAUUAUAGAUUAUUGUUGAACAAGAUAAAACCUUUGAUUUGGAAACUAGACAAGUAUGAAUAUCCCUACACGGGAAAACUUUUAUGCGCCCAAGGUGGACAGAGUGAACGAUCCUAUCGUUCUUGUAAUGUAGUAUUGAUCAAUACAGGGCCCAUGGGAAGUACAACCUAACGCCCGUAAGUUAUGACGGUUUACAGAUGAAUUUCUGUUUAACCUUUUCAAAAAUGAAAACAAUGUUCAUAGCAUGUCACCAUAACCCUAGUUAUAGUCAAUAUGUAGUUUCAAAAAUUUGAAAGAGAGAGUGUUAUGUUAUUAUUAUCGGUUCAGAAUACUUCAUAACUAUUGACUUAUUGUAGAAGAAUAGUACAAAGAAAAUAUUUAAAUUCUUUCAGCUUAUAUAUAUAUAUAUAUAUAUAUAUAUAAUUACUAUUACAUGCUGGGCACUCAAAUGCUCAUCCUUGCUUAAUUUAAAUGUUGUCAGCUAGGCAUGAACAACUCGAAGGUUCAGGCAAGAACAAGUGAAAAGGAAAGCAAACAGAACAAGUUUAUUAAUGGUAUCUUUUGUAAUAGUUAGACAAUAUAUAGACAACGAUAUGUAUUAUAUAUCAUGUAAAGAAUUAUAGUAAAGGUUGCGUAAUUGGGAUUAGACUCUGAUAAAUGCAAGAUAAGUUUGAUAUUUAUAUUAUUAUUAGUAUUAUUCCGCUCAUAGAAAUGGUAUCGUGAAGAACCGAGUUCGAUUUUCAAGUACCCGAGUUUGGGGUCUUUACAAGUUGGUAUCAGAGCUUAGGGUUAAAAACCUUAGGUGGGUAAAACCUUAGGCUAUAACCUUGGAAAAGAGGGAAACGUUAAAAAUUUAAAUAACUCAUAUAGAGUUUAAAAAGGAGAUGAAUUGAAUAAGUUCAUCGUCAAAUCAAAUAAAAGAUAACUUGUAUAAAACUAUUAUUUGUUAGUUGAUAAUCAGGAUAACUUAAGUGUGUAUAUGUCAGAUAGAAAAGGAUUAAGAUACCCUCAAAUCAUAAAGAAGAAGUCAAUCUCCAUAACCGAGCCAAUAUCGAAGCCAAUAGCUGAAAUAGAGGCUCACAUUGAAAGCUACCUCAAAGAGGUGGUUAUUUUGAAAAGUAUAGUACCAGACCCUGAAACGAUAGUAUAGCAGAUAGGUAAGAUAUAGUUAAAGAAUAUGUGGUCAAUGUCGAGUUCUUAAACUCGUAUGUUUGUGGUGAGUUCUUAAACUCAUAAUAUAUGAUAAGUUGGACGAACUAGGUGUAGUUAGGUGUGAAUAGAUUAUUGAGGAUAAUGGGAAGAGACAGAUUACUAAGCAACUGAUCCUUAGUGGAGGCGUAAGAAAUAAGUAGUACUAAUAUUAAUAUGUAUGAUUCUAUGUUGUGUAUAUGAUAGGUAUGUCUGUAUAAGGUAAUAUUCUUAAUUUUAUAUAAGUUGUGGCAGCGAUUCCCGACUUUUGAGUCACAAAGGGAUAGCGAAUGUUUAAAGCAGUAUGUGCUUUGGUAUGUCAAGUGUUAUGAAUAUGAGUCUAUGAUGGAUUAAUGAAAUAAGUUGGUAUAAAGAUAGUAGUUAAUUAUAUGAGUACUGGAUAAUGCAGAAAAUAAAAUUUUCAAAAUAUCUAAUAUUUUGAGUACAUGAUUAAUGGAAUAGAAAGUUUUAUGUUAUAUGAUUAUACGUAUACAAUAAGGCUUAGAAUAAAGAAUAAAUUGUGAUAAUGUCGCCAAGACGAAAAUGAAGUACACGGACAGAAGAACCUGUCAACAAAGCUGGAAGACAACCAGACCCGAUACAGAAUUUUGCGAAUGUGGACGAUCAAGCUAUGCAGAACGGAAUACCAGUCGCGGGAAGAUCAGUCAGAUAAUCGAUAGACGAACGUCAAAGACUUCAAGGCCAUCGUACUUCCAAGAUUUAGAGGGCCAACUGACCCUAUAGCAACGUUUGUGAUAGCUAGGAUAACUAAGGGGCAAAAGAUAGCUUUGUCACACAUACGGUAAAAAAGGAAAGGAGAUAUAUAAAGGGAAAGUCUGUGUGUUUUAAGUGUGAAUCAAUGGAGUAUAAGAUAAAAGAUUGUUCAAGAAGGAGAAAGGAGGCAAGGAAUACGAAUACGGGAAAAGGCAGCAGGAC